rnacentral:tRNA from 1 species
GGCCUCAUCGUCUAACGGUUAGGACAGUGCCCUUUCACGGCAUAAAUUCGGGUUCGAUUCCCGAUGAGGUCACCA